rnacentral:tRNA from 1 species
GCCUGGCUGGCUCAGUUGGAGGAGCGUGCAACUCUUGAUUUCAGGGUCGUGGGUUUGAGCCCCACACUGGGCU